AAUGGGACGAUUUAGCCAUGCUAGUCGCACGAGUUCAGACUCGUGGCGAAUAGCUCAGUAACACGUGGCCAAACUACCCUUCGGAACACAAUACCCUCGGGAAACUGAGGCUAAUAGUGUAUACCAUACCACCACUGGAAUGAGUGGUAUGCCAAACGCUCCGGCGCCGAAGGAUGUGGCUGCGGCCGAUUAGGUAGACGGUGGGGUAACGGCCCACCGUGCCAAUAAUCGGUAUGGGUCAUGAGAGUGAGAACCCAGAGACGGAAUCUGAGACAAGAUUCCGGGCCCUACGGGGCGCAGCAGGCGCGAAACCUUUACACUGCACGACAGUGCGAUAGGGGGAUCCCAAGUGCACAGGCAUAGCGCCUGUGCUUUUCGGUACCGUAAGGUGGUACCAGAAUAAGGGCUGGGCAAGACCGGUGCCAGCCGCCGCGGUAAUACCGGCAGCCCAAGUGAUGGCCGAUCUUAUUGGGCCUAAAGCGUCCGUAGCUGGCCGCGCAAGUCCAUCGGGAAAUCCACCUGCUCAACAGGUGGGCGCCCGGUAGAAACUGCGUGGCUUGGGACCGGAAGGCGCGACGGGUACGUCCGGGGUAGGAGUGAAAUCCCGUAAUCCUGGACGGACCGCCGAUGGCGAAAGCACGUCGCGAGGACGGAUCCGACAGUGAGGGACGAAAGCCAGGGUCUCGAACCGGAUUAGAUA
rnacentral:rRNA from 1 species